ensembl:lncRNA
GAAACAUCUCAGACCCUGAAAGUCCUCAAUACGGAGCUGCAGCUUGGCGCUGCAAGGCUGCAAAGGUCACUUUCCCAGUGGGGAGAGAAUCAGCCAUUUCAGCCUGGGGAAUAAAAUCUACUUUGAACAGAAUGGUCCAGCAUAUUGGGACAUGCCACAUGAAGCUCCACUCUGCUGUCACGAAACUGCCUCUGAAAACACUUUUGCUGCUUUGCUGCACUGUGGUUCUCAAAGGAGCUGGAUGCACCUUGCAAAAGUUUGGUGAGCUCAAGUACUUCACCUGAGCUGCAGGAAAAGCAUCGAGAGAAGAAAGAAUGCAAGGAGCAGUGUGAGAGGUGCAGCGUGUCCUGUUUUAGCAGCAGUGUGACCCACAGCUUCGUCCCCCUGCUGCAGGGACCUGGCUUUGCUCAGGAGCAGCAUUAAUUUGUAGGCAAAAAGAGAGGACUCAGGGAUCUGAAUUUGGCCAGCGGCUGCUGGCAGCAUCCCUCCAAGAAUGCGUGCUUAGGUGGUAUCAUUAAUAAAAGAUUGAUUAUUGGGCA